UAGGACUGAGGCUUCUCGGUUGUUCUGUAGCUGUUGGGAUUGUUUUCACCUUGGAUUGAAAUGCUUUUCCCUGGAACUCUUUGCCCUUCUGCAGGGGGAUUGAAGAGCUCUGCUCCUUAGCUUGUGAGACAGAAUCACCGCGGGUGCUGAGAGAGAGCAGGAAAUCACCUUUGUAAAGCUGUCCAGAAAGCCUUGAAUUCAGGUACGAGCCUCGUGUUUAUAGGAACAUAAAAGGAACCAUGGAAACUGAAUAUGGGUCAGAGCACCUGCAAGUGGAUAAAAAGUAGAGGGAUUGCAAACCUACCCUGAUUUCUCUGUCUUUGGAUAUGCUCUGCUGGUUUCAAACCUCCUUGGGGUCCUAGGCUCCAUAGGAGCCUUGGGGAUCUAUACAAAGAAGGAAUUUCUGGGGAAAGCAGCAGACAGAAGGCUUGCUUUAAAUUCCUGUGCGUGCCUUGGUCCUUGGGCUUCCACAGAGGAUUCCACGAGGAUCACAAGCUGCUCAGUCUACAGGGAGCUGUUGCUGGAUCUGGUGCUCCUGCUGAGCCUCAGGUGAGAUAUAACCCUGCUACAGAUUAUAGACGUGUUUUGGUUGAAAUUCUCUGUGCUUGAUGCAUUGUCUGCCUACAACGCAGGGCAAACUCUGCUCCUCCCUUCUGGCCUGGCCUGUAAUGAUGGAUUAAGUAGAGCUGACACUUGGUGGAAGAGUUGCUGGUGUGCCUGGAGGUGCAGUGUGAGGUGGGCUGGCCAGAGGAGACCUCUGCUCCCCCGUAGACACUGAGCUGCUGCUUGGGAACGGAUCUUGGGGACCAGAAACAGCUCCUGAACCUCCAGCAAGCCACCUCGGGAUGGAAGUGGCGUUUGAAUCUCUUAGAGUCAUAGGAUUAUGAAGGUUGGAAUAAAGCACUGAGAUCAUCAGCCCAUCCUCACCAUGCCCACUAAACCGUGUUCCUCAGUGCCGCAUUCUCCCUCAUUUUGGGACCGCCUGGGAGCUGGAAGGUUUAUUGUUAUGGAUGGUUUCAGCUGGAUUUCUCUCUUCUUUCAAACAAAGUGUUUCCUCUUGAA